GACGAACGCUGGCGGUGUGCUUAACACAUGCGAGUCGAACGGUAAGGCCCUUUCGGGGGUCCACGAGUGGCGAACGGGUGAGUAACACGUGAGUAACCUGCCCUCAUCUCUGGGAUAACAGUCGGAAACGGUUGCUAAUACUGGAUAUGAGCUUGCAAGGCAUCUUGUGGGUUGGAAAGAUUUUUUUUGGUUGGGGAUGGACUCGCGGCCUAUCAGCUUGUUGGUGAGGUAGUGGCUCACCAAGGCUUCGACGGGUAGCCGGCCUGAGAGGGCGACCGGCCACAUUGGGACUGAGAUACGGGCCAAACUCCUACGGGAGGCAGCAGUGGGGAAUAUUGCACAAUGGACGGAAGUCUGAUGCAGCAACGCCGCGUGCGGGAUGACGGCCUUCGGGUUGUAAACCGCUUUCAAUUGUGACGAAGCUUUUUUGUGACGGUAGCAGUAGAAGAAGCACCGGCUAACUACGUG
rnacentral:rRNA from 1 species